rnacentral:lncRNA from 1 species
GCAAAGACUACUAAUGAGCCAAAUUUGAAGCCUGCUGGUAAAGAAGCUCACCUCCCUCAUGGCUCACUGAACCACAAGAGAAUGGAUUUCCUGAAAUGUAGUGUCUUCCAAAGUGUUACCCUCAGACCCGCCAUCUAACCCCUCAUAUUCCAGGUGAGUUAUUUCAACAACUGUGUUGUUUUCAUAGGCUGAUUCCUGGGUGGGACCUCGAAAUCCUGCAAAACUAAGACUCACUAUGUGAUGAGUGGUGACUUGACAGCAGGUGGAG